rnacentral:lncRNA from 12 species
CAACGCCAGGGCCCAAACCCUCCAUCUGCUGUAGGUGAACCAAAAACAACUGAUAGCAGCUCUCAGUGAUAUGUGUCGGGUCCCCGCUAUAAUAGCAGCAACAUUCACAAAUGUUUACAGAACAAGCGGGAACCCAGUGUGCAUGUAGCUUUCUCUAUUUCAGUUUUAUCAUGUGAUAGAAAGUCUAAGGCCUUUUCAAACCGAAGGGCAAAUUCAUCUAAUCUGCGGCCUAUAAUGCAUCAAACUAAGAUUGAUGUAAAGACACAAAGCACUGCCAUCAAGUUAGCAUUUUUAAACAUUUGCUCACUAAGAAAUAAAUCAUUUCUAAUCAAUGACUUUAUAACCACAAACGAUCUGGAUUUUAUGUUUCUAAACGAAACAUGGCUAUAAGGCAAUCCUGAAUGAAGCAGCCCCUCCUAACUUUACUUUCAUGAGUGUGUGCAGGUUGUGGCAGAUUAGUCAGAUCCUCCCUGUAGUGACGUCAUGUUAUUGGUAGCCUAUCUUCCCGCAGGGAGGUGUGUAUAAAUGGCUGUUUGGUGCGGGCCGGAUGUGCGUCAUCUGUUCUGUGCCUGCGCUCUUCCUGUUUACCGGCAUUCAACAGAGGUCUGUGGUUAAAACACAGCCGUUUGGGCAUUUUAACACCGCUUGUGUCAUUUUGUGGGGCUUUGCGUACACUGGAGAGUCUAUUGUAAACAACCGUUACGUGCGGUCUGGCUCGUUACACUGCCUAGUCCCAGGUACGUAAGAUUUAGUAUAUUGCCAGAGGUUUUAGGUGAUGUGGUGUGGGGGUCAGCUAUGUUUAUCUUUACCGCAGCAUUCCCGUGUGUUUACCGUUUGAGUGGGGACAUCCAAUAUAUGCUGUUUGGCAUCUACUUCAUUUCUAUCCCGUGGAUACUGACGUCAGCUCUGCUUUCUGGUGUGGCAAACGGCUGCGUUAUUUGGAGCUGUGUGUCCGACGGCAGUGAGGCUUUCCUUCACCGUGUGCUGUGUUAUGCUGUGUGAGCACCACUGAUAAAAUCACGGGUAUU